rnacentral:lncRNA from 1 species
GUCGUCGACGCUGUUCGUGAUCGAGUUCAUCCUGUUUCACUACGUGGAGAUCCGGCGGUGGCAGGACAUCAAGAACCCCGGCAGCGUCAACCAGGACCCCAUCUUCAAGAGCUACAGCCUGCCGCCGCACGAGUGCGGCUACCCCGGCAGCGUCUUCAACCCGCUCAACUUCGCGCCCACGCUCGAGGCCAAGGAGAAGGAGCUCGCCAACGGUGAGUUGCAUUGCAUUGCACCAUCUCAUCUCACCGCCGCCGGUCGUCGUCGGCCACUUCCGAUCCUUCUCUGACGUUAUUAAUUCUGCAGGGAGGCUGGCCAUGCUGGCGUUCCUGGCCUUCCUGAUCCAGCACAACGUCACCGGCAAGGGGCCCUUCGACAACCUGCUGCAGCACCUGUCCGACCCAUGGCACAACACCAUCAUCCAGACCCUGUCGGGUUGAGUCGACGGUCCAUCAGGUCAUGUGGUCCGAGCUGAAAGGCCGAGACUCGAAGACAGUUCGUGUGAUGCGUUCUUAAUCGACUGAGGGCUAAGGAAUGUGACGUACUGGUAUAUGUACAUUAGUUGAAGCGGAGGCUAUAAAGGGUGUAGAGAUUGUUUCAUCAGUGUAUAUCAUCUGUCCCGAUGGGUUUUGUUUUGUGCUUUUCACGAUUCAUUGUGGAAGCACAUGUAUUAUUAGUACAAGAACUG